rnacentral:rRNA from 1 species
CCCUUAGAUGUUCUGGGCCGCACGCGUGCUACACUGAACGGUUCAAUGGGUAAGGUAGUGCGAAAGCAUGACCUAAUCUCGAAAUCCGUUCGUGCUGGGGAUAGAAGCUUGCAAUUAUCCUUCUUGAACGAGGAAUACCUUGUAAGCGUGAGUCAUCAUCUCGCGCUGAAUACGUCCCUGCCCUUUGUACACACCGCCCGUCGCUCCUACCGAUUGAGUGUUCCGGUGAGGCUUUGGGAGAAUGGCCUCAACAUGAGUUUAUCGUGUUUUGCCGUUUGAACUUAGUCAAACCUUAUCACUUAGAGGAAGGAGAAGUCGUAACA